GACGAACGCUGGCGGCGUGCUUAACACAUGCAAGUCGAACGGUAAGGCCCUUCGGGGUACACGAGUGGCGAACGUGUGAGUAACACGUGGGUGAUCUGCCCUGCACUUCGGGAUAAGCCUGGGAAACUGGGUCUAAUACCGGAUAGGACCACUGCCUGCAUGGGUGGUGGUGGAAAGCUUUUGCGGUGUGGGAUGGGCCCGCGGCCUAUCAGCUUGUUGGUGGGGUGAUGGCCGACCAAGGCGACGACGGGUAGCCGGCCUGAGAGGGUGACCGGCCACCCUGGGACUGAGAUACGGCCCAGACUCCUACGGGAGGCAGCAGUGGGGAAUAUUGCACAAUGGGCGCAAGCCUGAUGCAGCGACGCCGCGUGAGGGAUGACGGCCUUCGGGUUGUAAACCUCUUUCAGCACCGACGAAGCGCAAGUGACGGUAGGUGCAGAAGAAGGACCGGCCAACUACGUGCCAGCCGCCGCCGUAA
rnacentral:rRNA from 1 species